GAAGAACUAUAUUGAUGGCUGAGAGCCCAGGCAAGCCUGGGAAAGGAAGGUGAGCUGACAGGAUGUCACUCUGUGAGCCAGGCUGGAGUGCAGUGGCACGAUCAUAGCUCACUACAGCCCCAAGCCCUGGGUUCAAGCAAACCUCCUGCCUCAGCCUCCCAAAAGGGGAAUCAGUUCUGGACAGGAGGAUGCCUCCCUGCAUUUGCCCUCCCUGCCUGCCCCCACAUCCUUCUCUGGAAAGGAGAAUGAGGAUGAGAAUGACCUCCCUCUGCAGGACGAGGUAUCAAAUAUUCAGCCCAUGCCAGAGUGAGGAUCUCCUUUUCACCUUCUGUCUAAAUUGUGCCUUGAAUCUCUUUCGCGCUGGGUGCGAACUGCGUGAGACUCUUUUUGUAAAACUCAAACCCUGGCAACCCCACAACACCUGACCUCGAGCUGGUUUCCAUAGCCUGAAUCCUUCCUCUCUAAUUUGCAAACAACUUUCUUAGUAAAUGAUUACAGAGCAGAAUGCAAUCCCUUCUAUAAGAGAUAUGACUCAGAACAAAUUGUAGCCGCGUUUU